rnacentral:rRNA from 1 species
UACAGAGGGGGCAAGCGUUGUUCGGAAUUAUUGGGCGUAAAGGGCUCGUAGGCGGUUUGUCGCGUCGGGAGUGAAAACCUUGGGCUUAACUCAGGGCUUGCUUUCGAUACGGGCAGACUAGAGGUAUGCAGGGGAGAACGGAAUUCCUGGUGUAGCGGUGAAAUGCGCAGAUAUCAGGAGGAACACCGGUGGCGAAGGCGGUUCUCUGGGCAUGAUCUGACGCUGAGACGCGAAAGCGUGGGGAGCGAACAGG